rnacentral:rRNA from 1 species
GACGAACGCUGGCGGCGUGCUUAACACAUGCAAGUCGAACGGAAAGGCCCUGCUUUUGUGGGGUGCUCGAGUGGCGAAGGGGUGAGUAACAUGAGAGUAACCUGACCUUCACUUUGGUAUAAGUUCAGGAAACUGGGGCUAAUACAGGAUCGGAGAUCCUGCAGCAUGGUGAGGGUUGGAAAGUUUCGGCGGUUGGGGCUGGACUCGCGGCUUACCAGUUUGUUGGUGGGGUAGUGGCUUACCAAGGCUUUGACGGGUAGCCGGCCUGAGAGGGUGACCGGCGACAUUGGGACUGAGAGACGGCCCAGACUCCGACGGGAGGCAACAGUGGGGAAUAUUGCACAAUGGGCGGAAGCCUGAUGCAGCAGCGCCGCGUGCGGGAUGACGGCCUUUGGGGAGUGAACCGCUUUCGCCUGUUACGAAGCUGGAGUGACGGUAAUGGGAAAAGAAGCACCGGCUAACUACGUG